rnacentral:rRNA from 1 species
UACGGAGGGUGCAAGCGUUAUCCGGAUUCACUGGGUUUAAAGGGUGCGUAGGUGGGUUGAUAAGUCAGUGGUGAAAUCCCCCGAGCUUAACUUGGGAACUGCCAUUGAUACUAUUGAUCUUGAAUACCGUGGAGGUCAGCGGAAUAUGUCAUGUAGCGGUGAAAUGCUUAGAUAUGACAUAGAACACCAAUUGCGAAGGCAGCUGGCUACGCGAAUAUUGACACUGAUGCACGAAAGCGUGGGGAGCAAACAGG